GCGGAAGGAUCAUUAGCGAGUAGACCCUAACAGGUCAAUCCUAUACAAACACAAUUGUGAAUUACUAAGGAGGGGUGUUAGCCAUGAAAGUGUAAACGAUUAAAUGGUGAAGUCCCUUCUUUUAAAAAUACGUUUUUUAAGUCUUGAAAGUGAAGUUGAAUAACUAAGUAAAACUUAUAGCAACGGAUCUCUUGGCUCUCGUAUCGAUGAAGAACGCAGCGAAAUGUGAUAAGUAAUGUGAAUUGCAGAAUUCAGUGAAUCAUCGAAUCUUUGAACGCAUCUUGCGCCCUUUGGUAUUCCGAAGGGCAUGUCUGUCUGAGUGUCAUGAAAUUCUCAAUCUCUCAUUUUCUUUGAUGAUGAGUUGGUUGGAUCAUGGGUGUUUGCUAGCUUAGCUAGCUCACCUGAAAUUUAUUUGCAAUGUUAUGUCCUUGUGAGUUGGCCCGACUAGGCGUGAUGGUAAAAAAUUCGUCUAGGAUCCCGCUUUAUGCGAGAGCCGCUCCUGUUGGAUUUUGUUGUUGCAUGUCAUUUACAUCUUUGGUUUAGACCUCAGAUCAGGCAGGACUACCCGCUGAACUUAAGCAUAUCAAUAAGCGGAGGAAAAGAAACUAACAAGGAUUCCCCUAGUAACGGCGAGUGAAGCGGGAAAAGCUCAAAUUUGUAAUCUAACCGUUCUGCGGUUCGAGUUGUAAUCUAUAGAAGUGUUUUCUGUGCCCAGCCCCAUAUGAGUCUGUUGGAAUAUAGCGUCAAGGAGGGUGAGAACCCCGUUCGUGAUGGGUGUCUGGUGUGCUCUGUGAUACACUUUCUAAGAGUCGAGUUGUUUGGGAAUGCAGCUCUAAUUGGGUGGUAAAUUCCAUCUAAAGCUAAAU
rnacentral:rRNA from 1 species